rnacentral:tRNA from 4 species
GCGGGUAUAGCACAACGGUAGUGCAGCAGCCUUCCAAGCUGAGGAUCUCGGUUCGAUUCCGUGUACCCGCUCCA